rnacentral:rRNA from 1 species
AUGGAGGAGCCGUCCAUGGCCGACCCGCCGCGGAUCUUCUGGAAGUCCAGGAGGAGGCCGUCGUCAGCCAAUGGCCGGAGCUUGCAAGCACAAGAACAUAAUAACGAGGCCGCUGCCACCGAAGAGGCAGCAGCGGACACUCUUCCGGCUCAAGGAGAAGCCAUGAAGAUUGAUGACGCAAAUGCAGCAAGCACUACCACAGAGGAUGAUGCUCAUCAGGCAGAUCCGAUGGCUAACCUAUCUGAGAAGCGAAAGGCGCUCUUUGAGCCCCUGGAGCCAAUCAAUGGCAAGCGCAGCGCUGACAUGCUGCUUCCGCCACCGGACUUCGAGCCUACAUCAUAUCCCAAGGGAUGGCUGGUUGGUAAGAAGCGCAAGCUCGUCAAUGUCGAUGUCGUGGAGAGCAUGAGGAGGAUAGCGAUCCUGGAAAUGAACAGAAAGGACCGUGAAAUCGGCGGGCUGAAUGAACAACUAGAGGAGGACUCCCGCGUGCUGGAGCUUCUGCAGAAGCAGCUCACGGACGAGCGCAGGAAGCGGUCGGAGAUCGAGAAGGAGAACUCCAUGCUUCAAGAGCAGGUGACCAUGCUGAUGAACAUGCUUGAUGAAAACGAAGCCUUCGACGAGGAAGGAGAAGAGGCGCCACCACCCGACUCAAUCGAUUAA